CCGGGUGACGGCGCGGCCCCGCUGGGUGCCCCCCGGCGGCUGCCGGCAGCGGGGGGGCCGGGGUCGGGGUCGGCGGGGCCCCCCCGAGCCCCCCGGAGCCCCCCGAGCCGCCCCCUGCUCGGCCGGCGCGGGGGCAGCAUGAGCGCGGCCAAGCCCAAGCGCAUCAAGUUCUCCGAGGAGGAGAAAUUCCUCAUCCUGGAGGAGUUCAGCCUGCGCAAGGACAUCCUCAUCCCCAAGAGCGGCCGCUACAAGAACACACUGGACCGGCAGCGGGCCUGGGAGGAGAUCGCGGCCGCCGUCAACUCGCUGAGCCCCCUGGUGCAGCGCACGCCCGACGAGAUCCGCAAGAAGUGGCACAACAUGGUCAUUGACGCCCGCAAGGAGCUGGCCAUGGAGAAGCACCCGCUGCUCCGCCAGCGGCCCCAGGAGAAGCUCUUCCACAACAUCUUCGCCCUCUUCAACAAGCCCAGCCCGCAGCUGCCCGACCCGCUGCUCUCGGGAUCGUCCUUCAGGGUGACGGCGGCCGGGGUCCCGCCGGGGCCACCCGCGCCCCUCUGCGUGGCCGGGGGGAUGCUGGAGGUCGCCCCGGACUUGCUGCUGCACGGCCAGAGCGGUGCCACUGCCCCGGCCCGCGGGAUGCUCUGUGCCACCGGCACCCCCGGCCCCGCUCCCGAUGGCUUCCUCGGUGCCCCCGGUGCGGAGCCCGACUCCAAGCAGAGCUUGCUGCCGGCAGGCCCACAGCCCGGCGUGGAGAAGAGACUGCUGCCCCCCGGCACGGCAGCCCCCGGUCCCGCCUCACCGCAGGGCACGGCCCCGGUGCUGCCGUCCAGCUCCCCCGAGCCCCCCCGGAUCAAGUGCCCGCUGAGCCCGGCGCUGGCGUGGCCGUGCCUCGGCAUGACGGCGAGCCCCACGGCGCAGAGCGGGGACAGCCCCGGCCCCCCGGCCUCCCAGGAGAAUGGCAGCCCGACGGCACCGGCCGAGCCCCUGCUGGGGCCGCGGGGCUGCGGCCACACAGCCCGGGAGGUGUCGGAGAAGCAGAGCCGGCUGCACACGGAGAUCCUGGAGCUGCAGAAGGAGACCCUGCAGCUGCAGAAGGAGAAGAUCCUGCUGGAGAAGGAGAAGCUCCUCCUGGAAAUCAUCAAACUCCGCCGGGAGCUGGGCACGUGA
rnacentral:lncRNA from 1 species